UAGUAUUGGCCAUUUGUCCCAGUUUUAGCCUCAUUUUUUUCAAUCAGGCCACAAACAUUUCGUAGUUGGUAGGUUGUUGACAUUUGGGGCAUUCAACUUUUUCUCAACGUGAUCCACGUUCAUGCUUUGCUAAUACUCUCCAAUCAUGUUGUUUGCCGCAUUAGGGAAAAGGGUGAGACACACUGAGACCACUAUAUAAAGCAUCAACACCUCAAAUUAGGUCACCAAUUAAUAUACGCAACCAGUAAAAGACUGCUAGAAACCCAAUGGCUACAAACAAGGAUAGUAAGGAAAUGGAGUCAGGCUAUGGGCAAGGCUCUGGCUCUGGUUUUGGAUCACUUAUUACUGCUGCAGUCUCCACUGUUGAAUCGGCUGCCGGUUUGGUUGUGAGUACUGUUACUGGAUCAGAAUCUGGAAGUACCACGCAAUCGGUGUCUGAUUCGGGUUAUGGGAUUGGUUCUGGAUAUGGGUUUAGCCAGGCUAGUGAAGUCUCCGGUACGGGUUCUGGUACUGUGUCAAAUAGUACUGGUACAAAGUCCUCUACUUGAGCAAUCAGCACUACUAGUACUAGACCUAAAUAAAUAUAACAUUAUGUUAUGCAUGCUAUGAUAUAUUUGAUAUAUGUGUAUAUGAAUAAGUACCAAGACUGCUGGCAAGAAAUGUAGUUUGUUUGUGUUCAAGUCUUGUUGGUAUCAACUGUAGCUGUUGUUGAUGAUAGAUUAUGUGAAAAAAAAAAAAACCAAAAACAAAAAUUGUAGCUGUUGUGGUGCGUACUAAAUAAAAGCUUAAUACUAUUGCUGUUGCCUCUUAUAUUGAUAACCAAUAGCCUAACAUAAUAUUCAGUAAAGUGAAAUACUCUCUAGAUAUAGGUGAUUUACGACAGCUGUAGAGCAGAUGACACAAAGUAAAGUUCACGUCUUUGAUUAACAAGGUUAUAUUUUUCCUCGAUGGAACUCAAAUGUGAAAAUCUAAACAGAGAAUGGG
rnacentral:lncRNA from 1 species